rnacentral:rRNA from 1 species
UACAGAGGGUGCGAGCGUUAAUCGGAAUUACUGGGCGUAAAGCGCACGUAGUCGGCUUUGCAAGUCGGGUGUGAAAUCCCCGGGCUCAACCUGGGAACUGCAUCCGAGACUGCAUUGCUAGAGUAUGGGAGAGGGAAGCGGAAUUUCUGGUGUAGCAGUGAAAUGCGUAGAUAUCAGAAGGAACAUCAGUGGCGAAGGCGGCUUCCUGUACCAAUACUGACGAUCAGGUGCGAAAGCGUGGGGAGCAAACAGG